UUAACCCAACAGCUGCGUUGCGCCUGGUGGGUUAUUUUGUUGGGUUAUUCUUCCAGUGUUGGGUCGUUUUUUGAGUCACCCGAACGCUGGGUUAUCAGUUGGGUCCAAUUGAGUGACGGUUGAGAGAGCAAACUCCUCCUCGACGAUUCCGACAAACUUUAUAUUCCCAGCUUUUGAUCCACCUCAGGAAAAAGAGAGUACAGAUGUUAUACGGAGAAAAGAAAGAAACCCUCCUGAUGGACAUCCACUUCGCAAAGUGCACACCACACUGUUACCUACAAACUCCCAGGAAAAGAAUCCUCUUCAGUAAGACUGCUCCAUGGAUAUGUCAGGUUAAGCAAUACUUGAACCGAAAGAACUAACGCUGUUUAAAAUGUUUUGUGAGUUUAAAUGAAGAGGAAAGUUCUCUGACUAAUACAUUCCAUGCAAAUAUCAACCAAUACCAUGAAAAAAAAAGUUUUUACUAAAGGUUUUUACUGUACUAACUGCAGCUAAUCAACAUUUGGUGGUUCAAAUACCCGUGUGAGGUCUCUCUUCAAGUUAAGGUAUUAUUGCUUCAUGUUUGUACAUUUAAGUUCACAGAAAUCCCACAAAGUUUGUUGCCUCCUAAAUACGGUGUCCUUUUUCACAUACAUAAUGCUUGUAUAUUUCAUUUUUUUAUAGAAAACUUGUGCAUAUGUAGUGGGAUGGCCUUUUUUUAAGAGUAGUCUGCGUGGCCCCUUUAAAAAUAGCGGAACAUUAAGUGGGUGGGUACGUCAGGUAAUUACGUACCUAUAUAGAUUCAGGUGAGUUAAGUGCGUCAUGACAUUGCAUCGAUGUGACCUGUUUGUGUUGCUCUUGAAUCUCCUUCACUCCUCGAGAAAGGUAGGCUCUGUUAAACUGGUGGAUCAUAGACGGGAGGGAAAUAUAAAUCUAGAAUAGGGGUGUUAGGAAUUUAACUUAAUUCACAAGUUUGCUUAAUGUGCUUGCUUGAUGUAAUUUUAGAUUAGUCGGGAUUUGUCCAGACAUUGCUAGUGAGCAUGUGUGAGUGAGUGUCUUGCACGUGAAAGAAGUUGCUAGCUGCUGUUUUGCUGUGGUUAAAAUAUCGUUUCCUGUUUGGGAGGCGGGAUUCUCUUGUUGCAUUGAACGCUCGUGAUUGCAUGGACUGCUCGCGAUCGCCUUGAACGUUGUACAACGCACACGUUGGAUACGACGCCUAUACAACGCUCACCUUGGAUACGCUCUAAACCCGUGGCCGUUGACUCUGGUGCCAUCGGGGCUCGCUCAUGUCGCUGGCGUAUUUUCAUUUGAUUUGAGUCUAUUCAUUGUUUGUGUAUUUGGUUUAAAUGUGUGUGUAACAGAGUGAAAUUGAAAUUUCGUUUUGUUACGCUGCUUUAUUGUAUUAUUAUUAUUAUUAGGUAUUGUUUAUUUACCAAUUUAUUUAGUCUGUUCCUUUCUUUAUUUGGGUUGGUUGUAUUCUUUCGUUGUCUCGCUUUACAUUUAUCCCGCUCUAUUUCGGAAUUUAGUAAUUGUGGUUUAUUUGUUCUGUUGCUCUUUUGGCCUUGGUUUAUCUGAUUGGCGUUGAGUGGGUUUAAAUUAAUUAUAUAGUUUUGGUUGGUUUGAAGUGUUUUGAUUUGCAUUUAUUUUGUUUUCUGAAUGGAGUGGUGAAGUGUUCAAGCCAAGACAUAACGUGAAAGACGGGAACCAACUUUAAUUUAUUUGUUGUGAAUUGUAUCUUUGUAAGUAUAUUUUUUCCUUUCUUUUUGGGUGCGUGUGGCCAGUGUAUGGGUGGCCGGCCCAGUAGGAACUGUCUAAACAAAGCCCAGUGGGAUGAUUCCUUCAUAUUUAUUAAAUUUUAUCACUGAUGUUGAG